GUUUUAAUAGUAUAUAUAUUACAUUAUCUUUUCGUGAUAAAAAAGGAAGGACAAAUUCCUCCUUAAAAUU
rnacentral:tRNA from 1 species